ACGCACGCUGGCGGCGUGCUUAACCCAUGCAAGUCGAACGGAAAGGCCCUGCUUGCAGGGUACUCGAGUGGCGAACGGGUGAGUAACACGUGGGUGAUCUGCCCUGCACUUCGGGAUAAGCCUGGGAAACUGGGUCUAAUACCGGAUAGGAGCCAUUUUUAGUGUGAUGGUUGGAAAGUUUUUUCGGUGUAGGAUGAGCUCGCGGCCUAUCAGCUUGUUGGUGGGGUAAUGGCCUACCAAGGCGGCGACGGGUAGCCGGCCUGAGAGGGUGGACGGCCACAUUGGGACUGAGAUACGGCCCAGACUCCUACGGGAGGCAGCAGUGGGGAAUAUUGCACAAUGGGCGCAAGCCUGAUGCAGCGACGCCGCGUGGGGGAUGACGGCCUUCGGGUUGUAAACUCCUUUCGCUAGGGACGAAGCUUUUUGUGACGGUACCUAGAUAAGAAGCACCGGCUAACUACGU
rnacentral:rRNA from 1 species